UUGUCAUUAUGGGGUAUUGUGAUGUCAUUAUGGGGUAUUGUGAUGUCAUUAUGGGGUAUUGUGUGUAGAUUGAUGAGGGGGGGGAAAGGUAUUUUACCAAUUGUAAAAUAAGGCUGUAAAGUAAAAGGAAAAGAGGGGAAAUACACUGAAUACACUGUACUAUGUUUAAUAUGAUGUAAAUGUAAAGUCAUUUAAAUAUGAAGGAUAUACAUUGUUUAAAAUGCUAAACUCUACGAACAUAUCUACGUUCCAAAACGGGAUCUCUGCUGUCCGAGAGUUUUCAUGUUACAUUCAUCUCUCCUUGUUGUUUCCCCCUUUAGGAUUCUAGUAACGUGGAAUCAAAUGAAGCAUCUAGUUUCUCUACCUGGACUGAGGAAGUCAUCUCAGUAACAGACAGCCACUCUUCAGACAGUAGCUCCUGCACUAAAGAAGACUCUGAGGCACGGAAACCAGCAAAGAGAACAUGCCAUUCUAGUGGUGUGGUGAACGAACCAUCUUAUUUGUCCAACUUAUGUGAUGAAAACAACCCGGGGACUGAGAUCAGCCCUUCAGACGGCAACAAUGACAUGGACAUCCGAACACCCUCUGGGGCUCCUAGUCCAGCUAAGAGGAUAUGUCUGAGGGUGCAUGAUGCUGCCGUAGCAAGACGUGGGAGUGGAGAGAUGGCCUCCUGUUCCCCGUCCCAAAGUGCCAGGAUCCACUCCAUGUUACACCCACUGCUUGCACAGUCAAGGUCUGUACAUCCGAAAGUCACUACGGAAGCAUGUCAGAUACUGCCCUCUGAACCCCAAAGCUGAAGAACCAAAACCUGGACCAAAGAGGAGGAUUCAGUCAGCAAUGGCGUUUAUGAUGCGUCCUCAACCCGACUACGUCAGCACAGGUCUUUGGAAGAUCGUUUGUGGUAUGAACUCCGGCCAAGUUUCAUUUGUGGUUAGAAAUGACAAAUGUAUCCUCCUCAUGGGAGAGGAGCUGUACAACAAACUACAGCCAGAUAGCAGAAGAAACAAAUACAUUCAACAAAGAAUGAGAGAGGUGGCGAGACUCCUCAUCACGGCCAGGACGUGUACACCUCUGAUGUGCUUUGAGGACUUGGUCAUACCUAGUAAUUUACCUCACGUCAUCACGGCAGUGAGAGCUGUUGCUGGCUACAACGAGGAGAACAAAACGUACUAAGCCGUCCGACGCUGGCUGUUCAAAUGGGAUACAACUUAAUGAACAUUGGCAGCGCUGUGGAAUCCUGUGCACUGAGGUCAGGACGACGCGAAGUCGCGGAGUCUGCUGGCAAAUUCAAACGUUUCAAGUGGAAUGAGGUUGUUUUGGCUGGAGCGCUGACCACUCUCAGUGAACCCCAAAAUAAAUGCGCUCAGCCGACCCGUCGCACAGGCACCCAGCCGGCCUGUCUCCCAGCUGAGCCGGCGCCCAGCAAACCCAAAGAAACACUGUGAGAUUAAAGUGGAUCGUUGAUGAGGCAGCAGCAGCAGUAGAGAAACACAAGAUGCCGGUCAGAAAGAGUGGCCAAGUUCCUGGAAAGAGGGACUGCCUCAAAUGCCUCCAGUCAGAACCUGUGGCGCUCAAAAGCAGAAACUGGUCGGGCAUUAAGUUCUAUGUAAAUAGAGUCAAACGGAGACAGAGUGCUGCAGGGAAUUCAGAGGGCAGCACCCCUGACCUGGACUCAAACUCAGGUCCAGAGACUGGCAACCCAACACCUUAUCCAUUGCGUUUCCCAGUCAGACUUCGAACCAGCCAGGGAUUUGAACCAGCAACUUUGUGUGUGGUGGGGGGUUUACAGGUACCAAUAUUUAAAUUCAUAUUCUGUUCAUAUAUUUUAUAUCCAUUAGUUCACACAUUAUACAUGUGGGUUGCCACUGACAACAUUGAAGAAGAAAUGAACCUCUCCAUUUUCUGGUUGGUAAAAUUCUAAUAGUAAACCUAAUUUCAGUUUGUGACAAAACAAGCAAGUAUAGUGUAGACUACAGGAUCAUUGUACCAUCUAAACCGCUGUGAAAUAUAUUUUCCAUAACCCUAAA